UAUGUGGAAUCUUAAAAAAAAAACAAGCUUAUAAAUACAGAAAAUAGAUUGCUGGUUGCCUAAGGUAAGGAGUGAGCAAAGUGAGUGAAGGGGGUUAAAAGGUACAAACUUCCAGUUAUGAAAUAAAUAAGUCAGAGGGGUGUAAUAAACAGCAAGGUGACUCUACUGUGUUAUAAUUUU